ACAUGCAAGUCGAGGGGCAGCAUCAUCAAAGCUUGCUUUGAUGGAUGGCGACCGGCGCACGGGUGAGUAACACGUAUCCAACCUGCCGACAACACUGGGACAGCCUUUCGAAAGAAAGAUUAAUACCGGAUGGCAUAAUUAUUCCGCAUGGGAUAAUUAUUAAAGAAUUUCGGUUGUCGAUGGGGAUGCGUUCCAUUAGGCAGUUGGCGGGGUAACGGCCCACCAAACCUACGAUGGAUAGGGGUUCUGAGAGGAAGGUCCCCCACAUUGGAACUGAGACACGGUCCAAACUCCUACGGGAGGCAGCAGUGAGGAAUAUUGGUCAAUGGACGAGAGUCUGAACCAGCCAAGUAGCGUGAAGGAUGACUGCCCUAUGGGUUGUAAACUUCUUUUAUACGGGAAUAAAGUUAGCCACGUGUGGCUUUUUGUAUGUACCGUAUGAAUAAGGAUCGGCUAACUCCGUGCCAGCAGCCGCGGUAAUACGGAGGAUCCGAGCGUUAUCCGGAUUUAUUGGGUUUAAAGGGAGCGUAGGCGGGUUGUUAAGUCAGUUGUGAAAGUUUGCGGCUCAACCGUAAAAUUGCAGUUGAUACUGGCGACCUUGAGUGCAACAGAGGUAGGCGGAAUUCGUGGUGUAGCGGUGAAAUGCUUAGAUAUCACGAAGAACUCCGAUUGCGAAGGCAGCUUACUGGAUUGUAACUGACGCUGAUGCUCGAAAGUGUGGGUAUCAAACAGGAUUAGAUACCCUGGUAGUCCACACAGUAAACGAUGAAUACUCGCUGUUGGCGAUAUACGGUCAGCGGCCAAGCGAAAGCAUUAAGUAUUCCACCUGGGGAGUACGCCGGCAACGGUGAAACUCAAAGGA
rnacentral:rRNA from 1 species